ACCACAGGCGAAUCACAAGUUUAAAAUUUUUAUUUCAUUAUGCCUUUAAUGAAUUUUAAGCACCAUUAGUGAAUAUGACACUCAUAUUUUCUUGCACAAAUAAUAUUUAUGUAUUUUGGAGAGGCGUGGUAAGUCUCCAACAUACAAUCUUGCAACGGCGUAAGUAUUAAUGUGUUUUAGGGUCCGCUGGGGAAUCACAAGCUUGAAAUUUUUAUAUGGAUCCUUAGUGAGUGUCGAACGCUAAAUUUUGCAAUGACAAAAGUUUCCAAGUAUUUCAUGAACCGCUGGAGAAUUUGAAAUAUCGGCCCAAACAGCCAGGAUGAUUUUGUGGACUUUGAAGUUGUACUGUAUUGAUAAUUUCAAUUUUAGAUUGAAUAUUUCUUCCGGGUUACAGUUCUACAAUAUUUUAGAGACCCCUCGCAAUUAAAGGAUAUCAAACUAAAAACUUUUUGACGAUGAAACUUUUAAUAUGUUUUGGAGACCGAAGGUAAAUUUCAAACUUACAGCUGUUUUCUGAGUAAAGUCCUUACAGAGUUGCAUAAGAAAGAUUGGUCUAGCCGUCCAGGAUCAUUUCUGGUAGCAACUCCACUUGGCUUCAAGGAGGCAACCAGAAAGUC